AAUGGCUAAGCGGCGGUGGAAGUGCAGGCUGCACAAUCAAUAGGCAGAGAGCCGGAUAGAGGCUCCCUUCGCUGCCGGAUCGACAAUCGACAGCUGAGAGACUAUUUUUUGCAAUGGUUGACUAAAUAUGGUCAGGGAAGAGAGAGGCACAAGAGAGCCUGUUUGCCUGGGAGUGCAUGUUUCAAAUGCUUAGCUGCCUAUAAAGCCGUAACAGUUUUGCUCGUGCCCUCUAAGUGGGAAAUACGGUUGGUGACUUCUGUAGUGUGUGUGCGGGAGCCCUGACCUCGCGAGCAGACUUGACCUCUGAAGAUGGAAAGUAGCUUCAACACAGACCUGCCUACAGUUAAGCCUGGAAACAUAACCUCAAGCAAGAAAAGAUGCAGUGCAAUAUCUAAGGAACUAGAAGAAACCAAUAUUUGCCGGGGGAGGGGGGAGACGAUCGCUCUUUUUUUGGUGCUUUUUUUCUAAUUUUUUUUUUUGGAAGCAACUCCAACUUUAUGGGGCUUGGUUUUGGUCUUUUGUUGGGUUUUUAUUUUUCUUUUUGCCUGUGAUUAUCUUCAUCUGACAGUGGGCUAAGUUCACCUUCCCUUGGCUUCCUAGCAUCUAUCCUUGGAGUCUUAACUCUCAGUCCAGCAGACAUAAGUUUUAUCUAUUUAAGGUGGUGAGGUACUGUAUGCACCGACACUCGCCCCCCCUUGCCUCCCCCUCCCAUGUAACGAAGAGCUGAUUCAGCGAAUAGAGUGAGAGCACUCAGGAUGAGAUGGCUGCUGCUGAUGUGUCUCUAGGUCAUUACCUCUCUUCCAACUGCAAAUGCUGCAUGAUACUAAGCUUACAGGACACUAGAUGCAAACUGUACCCCAGCACGAAAAUCUUCUAAAAGACCUUCGAGGAAGCUGAAGUUUUUACAGUGGACUACAACUACGAAUUCUAAGAAAAGACAUUGCAAACCUACCAGUGAUUCAACUCUCUACUUAAACACUGUUACUUAGAAGAGCAAGAGGCUGCAAAAAUAUGGAAAAGCACUUCUAACAUCAGUGCCGUCCCAAAACAAUGAACUAUGCCCGGCUUUAAGACAUUGUGCAGAACUUGUCUCUCUGAGGACCUACAUGACAACACAGCAAGUGAGUCCUGCAGACACUUCCCGAAGACACUCAUUAACACCGGGUAGAAGUGAGAAACCCCACCUCUCAAUUAAAUUGCUACAGUUAGAAAUUUCACUGCCAACCCGUUCAAGCCAUCUGCAAAUCUAAAAACAAAUGGAGACCAGUUUAUGAACACAGAGAUGACACACUUCCUGCUACUGGAGAGCAAUACAUAAAAUCUGUAUCUUACUCCAGGACUUUAAUCUUUUGAUUUAAAGUCCAGCAGAAUGUAUUGCUCUGAAGAACUAACCAUACACGUGUGUGAAGUCAGGUCAGCUCCAAGAGCAGCCUCUAUUUAGGAUGAUAGCUGCAGAGUGAAUAAAGCUCUCUUCACAAGAUACAAUGCAAAUGUAAAACUAACUGGGGCAACGGAUAUAAAAUACGCCUACACUUCACAGUCAUGUCUUCAGCUCAAAAAUCUGAAGUCACAGGUAUGCGAAUAGAUCAAACAUAAGCAAGAGAUGAUAACAUGGCAAAAAUAACCAAUCUGUACAGUAUUUUCAAUUUUUACUCUCCUUUUUUCUGUCUGAAAAAAAAUCUCAUUAACACUGAAGAGGCAAAGUCUGCCAAGCUUUGAGGCUCACAGUACUUUGAAAAAAGUCCAAAAUAAAUUCACUUUUAAUAUGACUGACUCAGUUAAAAAUCACGAACAAGAAAACCAUGUAUUAAAUGAAAGUUUGACUUCUCCACACUUAAUUUAAAAUUUCUUUUUAGCUCUAUCUCCCAUGCACAAGUUUAAAGCAACCUACAGCAUAAACUAACAUCCAUUCUACAUUUCAACAUUAUACAUCAGCACAAAAACCAAAAGUUCUCUUCCUGUACCAAUUCACAAGGUACAAAGAGAGGCAAAACAAGAAAAGGAGAAACAUUCUACUAAGAAUAGGAUGCUGUCUGAAACACACUGUACUUUGACUUGUGGAAAACACAGCCAAACUGCCAUGGAAGAUAAAGUGCUGAGAAAAUCUAGGCUAUUUGACAGAAAUUGCUAUCUUUUUUAUAAUAUUUA